AAAAAGAUAAGCUAAUUUAAGCUAUUGGGUUCAUACCCCAAGUAUAAAGGUUUUAAUCCUUUUCUUUUUA
rnacentral:tRNA from 1 species